rnacentral:tRNA from 1 species
GCGGGUCUAGCUCAGUUGGCAGAGCGACAGCUUCCCAAGCUGUAGGUGGCGGGUUCGAGCCCCGUGACCCGCUCCA